rnacentral:rRNA from 1 species
AGACCCGAAACCCGGUGAUCUAGCCAUGGGCAGGUUGAAGGUUGGGUAACACUAACUGGAGGACCGAACCGACUAAUGUUGAAAAAUUAGCGGAUGACCUGUGGCUGGGGGUGAAAGGCCAAUCAAACCGGGAGAUAGCUGGUUCUCCCCGAAAGCUAUUUAGGUAGCGCCUCGUGAAUUCAUCUCCGGGGGUAGAGCACUGUUUCGGCUAGGGGGCCAUCCCGGCUUACCAACCCGAUGCAAACUGCGAAUACCGGAGAAUGUUAUCACGGGAGACACACGGCGGGUGCUAACGUCCGUCGUGAAGAGGGAAACAACCCAGACCGCCAGCUAAGGUCCCAAAGUCAUGGUUAAGUGGGAAACGAUGUGGGAAGGCCCAGACAGCCAGGAUGUUGGCUUAGAAGCAGCCAUCAUUUAAAGAAAGCGUAAUAGCUCACUGGUCGAGUCGGCCUGCGCGGAAGAUGUAACGGGGCUAAACCAUGCACCGAAGCUGCGGCAGCGACACUCAGGUGUUGUUGGGUAGGGGAGCGUUCUGUAAGCCUGUGAAGGUGGCCUGUGAGGGUUGCUGGAGGUAUCAGAAGUGCGAAUGCUGACAUAAGUAACGAUAAAGCGGGUGAAAAGCCCGCUCGCCGGAAGACCAAGGGUUCCUGUCCAACGUUAAUCGGGGCAGGGUGAGUCGACCCCUAAGGCGAGGCCGAAAGGCGUAGUCGAUGGGAAACGGGUUAAUAUUCCCGUACUUGGUGUUACUGCGAAGGGGGGACGGAGAAGGCUAUGUUGGCCGGGCGACGGUUGUCCCGGUUUAAGCGUGUAGGUGUGUGUUCCAGGUAAAUCCGGUUCACUUUAACACUGAGGCGUGAUGACGAGGCACUACGGUGCUGAAGCAACAAAUGCCCUGCUUCCAGGAAAAGCCUCUAAGCAUCAGGUAACAUCAAAUCGUACCCCAAACCGACACAGGUGGUCAGGUAGAGAAUACCAAGGCGCUUGAGAGAACUCGGGUGAAGGAACUAGGCAAAAUGGUGCCGUAACUUCGGGAGAAGGCACGCUGACACGUAGGUGAAGUGAUUUACUCAUGGAGCUGAAGUCAGUCGAAGAUACCAGCUGGCUGCAACUGUUUAUUAAAAACACAGCACUGUGCAAACACGAAAGUGGACGUAUACGGUGUGACGCCUGCCCGGUGCCGGAAGGUUAAUUGAUGGGGUCAGCGCAAGCGAAGCUCCUGAUCGAAGCCCCGGUAAACGGCGGCCGUAACUAUAACGGUCCUAAGGUAGCGAAAUUCCUUGUCGGGUAAGUUCCGACCUGCACGAAUGGCGUAAUGAUGGCCAGGCUGUCUCCACCCGAGACUCAGUGAAAUUGAACUCGCUGUGAAGAUGCAGUGUACCCGCGGCAAGACGGAAAGACCCCGUGAACCUUUACUAUAGCUUGACACUGAACAUUGAGCCUUGAUGUGUAGGAUAGGUGGGAGGCUUUGAAGCGUGGACGCCAGUCUGCGUGGAGCCGACCUUGAAAUACCACCCUUUAAUGUUUGAUGUUCUAACGUGGACCCGUUACCCGGGUUGCGGACAGUGUCUGGUGGGUAGUUUGACUGGGGCGGUCUCCUCCUAAAGAGUAACGGAGGAGCACGAAGGUUGGCUAAUCCUGGUCGGACAUCAGGAGGUUAGUGCAAUGGCAUAAGCCAGCUUGACUGCGAGCGUGACGGCGCGAGCAGGUGCGAAAGCAGGUCAUAGUGAUCCGGUGGUUCUGAAUGGAAGGGCCAUCGCUCAACGGAUAAAAGGUACUCCGGGGAUAACAGGCUGAUACCGCCCAAGAGUUCAUAUCGACGGCGGUGUUUGGCACCUCGAUGUCGGCUCAUCACAUCCUGGGGCUGAAGUAGGUCCCAAGGGUAUGGCUGUUCGCCAUUUAAAGUGGUACGCGAGCUGGGUUUAGAACGUCGUGAGACAGUUCGGUCCCUAUCUGCCGUGGGCGCUGGAGAACUGAGGGGGGCUGCUCCUAGUACGAGAGGACCGGAGUGGACGCAUCACUGGUGUUCGGGUUGUCAUGCCAAUGGCACUGCCCGGUAGCUAAAUGCGGAAGAGAUAAGUGCUGAAAGCAUCUAAGCACGAAACUUGCCCCGA